rnacentral:rRNA from 1 species
AAAUAAUACAAUUAAAUUAUUUUAGUUUUAAUUAAUUGAUAAAAGUGAAUUUAAAUUAUAAAUUUAAUAAGUGAAAUUUUAAAUUUUGUAAAGAUUUAUAUUUGUUAAUGAUUUAAGAAAUUUUAAUUAUAGACUAGGAUUAGAUACCCUAUUAUUUAAUAUGUAAUUUUAAAAACUAAAUUAAUAUAAGAUAUGUUCUCGAAAAUUAAAGAUUUUGGCGGUAUUUUAGUCUAUUCAGAGGAACCUGUUCUAUGAUUGAUAGUCCACGAUUUAAUUUACUUAUUUUAUUAAUUUACAUAUCGUCGUAGUUUGAAUAUUUUAUUAGAAUUUUAAUAUUCAAGAUUUAUUAUAAUAAAAAAAAUCAGAUCAAGGUGUAGUUUAUAAAUAAGUAGAAAUGGGUUACUAUAAUUAAAAUUUAAGAUAAUUAUUUUUAAAGUAAUUUGAAUUAGGAUUUGAAAGUAAUUUUAAUUUAUUUAUUAAAAUGAUUUUAGCUCUAAAAU